CAGCCUCUUCCUUGCAUUCACAGAGAUUUACAACCACUUUGGACACGAGUGUGGGCCCAUCUGCAUCAAGAGAUAAAACUGGACCUGCUGGAAAUCCGACGGAAGUCAGUGGGACCUCAGGAAAAGAUUAUUGCUUCCAGCAGAGCUGAAUUUGAGCAAUCAGCACUCAGUGCAGGGAGCAUCUGUCCCACACCACCCACAAGCCACAACACACUCCUCAAAGUGUGCAACAAACUGAGAUCAUUAGUGGAAAACACCAAAAGCCACAGACUGCUGUGUUGUAAAGAGCAGAAGAGAUGGAAAGCUCUGA